rnacentral:rRNA from 1 species
GCCUAGCCCUAAACCUUGGUAAUAUAUCACAUACCCUACCCGCCUGGGAACUACGAGCACCAGCUUAAAACCCAAAGGACUUGGCGGUGCUUUAGACCCCCCUAGAGGAGCCUGUUCUAGAACCGAUAACCCCCGUUCAACCUCACCCUUCCUUGUUUAUCCCGCCUAUAUACCGCCGUCGUCAGCUUACCCUGUGAAGGCCUAAAAGUAAGCACAACUGGUACAACCCAAAACGUCAGGUCGAGGUGUAGCGCAUGGAGGGGGAAGAAAUGGGCUACAUUCCCUAUAUUAGGGAACACGAACGGCGCACUGAAACACGCGCCCGAAGGAGGAUUUAGUAGUAAGCGGGAAAUAGAGUGUUCCGCUGAAAUCGGCCCUGAAGCGCGC